AGCCCAUGGGAUGAAUUUGUAAAUGCAUAAAAUUUGACUUAAGAUAUUAACAACCAUUGUAGUUCAGGUUCCAAUUCAAUCUCAAGUUUCUCAGAUCACUAAAAUGCUGCCAUAGUAACCUAAAAAUAAUGACAACUCCAAAUUUACUUUUUUUUUUUUAACGCAAAUUACAUGUAAAUA